AUUUAGAUGAGCACCUUCUUGCCCUUGGAUCACCCACUCUGGGGGAAGCUGUGUCAUGAGUAGUUCUAUGAUCAGGCCCAUGUAGCCAGAAACAAAAACCUCCUGCCAAGAACUGCAUGAGUCAUCUUGGAAGUGACCCUCCCCAGUCAUGACUUCAGAUGACACUGCAACCCUGCUGGCAGUCUUUACUGAAACUUCUUGAGAAAUCUUGAGCCAGUACCACGUAGCUGAACUGCUGCCAGAUUCUUGACUCACAAAAACUGCAACAUGACAGAGUCUCGCUCUGUCGCCCAGGAUGGAAUGCAGUGGUGUGAUCUCGGCUUACUGCAAGCUCCGCCUCCUGGGUUCACACCAUUCUCCUGCCUCAGCCUCCCUAGUAGCUGGGACUACAGUAUGCUGACUUCCAGGGCCAGUUCUUCAGAAUCUGCUUUUUCUCCUGAAAUCAGGCCAUGCGAAAAGAAGAUGUUGCCUCCUGGCACAGAUCAUUCAUCCUGCCUGGUCCUCAGUCAAGUCUCCAGCAGCUUGGGAUGUCUGAAGAAUGAAAAGCCUAAGAGACAAGGCCCGGGGAUGCCCAACAUACAUUCUAUAAGUGGGGAAAGUGGAUAAAAUGUUUUCUGUGUGGAAAGGACAAAUAACAGUUAAUUUCUACUGGAAAAGUAAACAAAAACCGUAAUUAAAAUUGCUCAAAAGUAAA
ensembl:lncRNA LINC00604 long intergenic non-protein coding RNA 604